rnacentral:rRNA from 1 species
GAGUUUGAUCUUGGCUCAGGAUGAACGCCGGCGGUGUGCCUAAUACAUGCAAGUCGAGCGCACUGGCCCAACUGAUAUGACGUGCUUGCACUGAAUUGACGUUGGAUUACCAGUGAGCGGCGGACGGGUGAGUAACACGUGGGCAACCUGCCCUGAAGCGGGGGAUAACAUCUGGAAACAGGUGCUAAUACCGCAAUAAACAAACGAAAACCACAUUGGUUUUCGUUUCAAAGAUGGUUUCGGCUAUCACUUCAGGAU